rnacentral:tRNA from 1 species
GGAGAGAUGGUCGAGAGGACGAAGACGCUGGCCUGGAAAGCUAGUAUGCAUGUAAAAAUGUAUCGUGGGUUCGAAUCCCACUCUCUCCGCCA